CCUACGUGAGGCAGCAGUGGGGAAUAUUGCACAAUGGGGGAAACCCUGAUGCAGCGACGCCGCGUGAGUGAAGACGUAAUUCGUUAUGUAAAGCUCUAUCAGCAGGGAAGCAAUUGACGGUACCUGAGUACGAAGCCCCGGCUAAAUACGUGCCAGCAGCCGCGGUAAUCCGUGGGGGGCAAGCGUUAUCCGGAUUUACUGGGUGUAAAGGGAGCGUUGACGGCAGUGCAAGUAUGGCGUGAACAGCGGGGGUUUCACCCCCGGACUGCUCUGGAAACUGUACGGCUUGAGUGCCGGAGAGGUAAGUGGAAUUCCUAGUGUAGCGGUGAAAUGCGUAGAUAUUAGGAGGAACACCAGUGGCGAAGGCGGCUUACUGGACUGUAACUGACGUUGAGGCUCGAAAGCGUGGGGAGCAAACAGGAUUAGAUACCCGAGUAGUC
rnacentral:rRNA from 1 species